AUGAACGCUGGCGGCGUGCUUAACACAUGCAAGUCGAACGAAGCACUUUAUUUGAUUUCCUUCGGGACUGAUUAUUUUGUGACUGAGUGGCGGACGGGUGAGUAACGCGUGGGUAACCUGCCUUGUACAGGGGGAUAACAGUUGGAAACGGCUGCUAAUACCGCAUAAGCGCACAGCAUCGCAUGAUGCAGUGUGAAAAACUCCGGUGGUAUAAGAUGGACCCGCGUUGGAUUAGCUAGUUGGUGAGGUAACGGCCCACCAAGGCGACGAUCCAUAGCCGAACUGAGAGGGUGACCGGCCACAUUGGGACUGAGACACGGCCCAAACUCCUACGGGAGGCAGCAGUGGGGAAUAUUGCACAAUGGGCGAAAGCCUGAUGCAGCGACGCCGCGUGAGCGAAGAAGUAUUUCGGUAUGUAAAGCUCUAUCAGCAGGGAAGAUAAUGACGGUACCUGACUAAGAAGCACCGGCUAAAUACGUG
rnacentral:rRNA from 1 species